AACGAACGCUGGCGGCAGGCUUAACACAUGCAAGUCGAACGCGUGUAGCAAUACACGAGUGGCGCACGGGUGAGUAACGCGUGGAUAUCUGCCUUUUGGUUCGGAAUAACUCCGGGAAACUGGAGCUAAUACCGGAUGGUUCCUACGGGAUAAAGAUUUAUCGCCAAAAGAUGAGUCCGCGUACGAUUAGCUAGUUGGUGAGGUAAUGGCUCACCAAGGCGACGAUCGUUAGCUGGUCCUGAGAGGAUGAUCAGCCACACGUGGGACUGAGACACGGCCCAGACUCCGUACGGGAGGCAGCA
rnacentral:rRNA from 1 species